UCGGGAACUGUGCAAUUGUCCGGCCCUCCGUGGAGCCUUGCGACCUGAACUGAAUAAAAGGUGUUUUGCCAGAGCCAAACGGCAGUGCCUCUACCAUCUAUUGGACUCCGACUCCGCCAUCUGGCCCAGGGAAUCAAAACAAACAAAUCAUUGCACAAACAGGCCACCUUUAUAUACAUACAUAUAUUCCGGAGAUAUGUACUCGGAUGUGCGUGAGUGGAUUGGUGGGUGUGUUUUCCUUGCCUGAGGCAUCGCGGCAAAAGUCGCGCGCGGAUUGUGCGGUGGAUUUAUGUGCGCGCAUAAAAUUUGUUUUUCUAAUUAGUUUUAUUCGACAAAAAACAAUUUAAUUUCCUUAUAAAGAUAAUACGUCAACAAGUGUCAAAAUAAAAAGCAUCAUAAAUAAUUGCGAAUCGUCAGACAAAAGAAAAUUCUUAAACUCAAACAAACGACAAAGAAAAGUGCACAAUAAACGCGUGUGAGAAAAAACAAUACAAAGAGCAAAGUAUUUCCAGGGGUCCGCCUAUUAAAACAAUGAUUUCCUCAAGGGGAAACGGAAUGAUCUUCAAAAUGUAUUGGCUAAUUCUGAUACUAAUGCCCCUCACUUGGGCCAACACCAGUGAUUUAAAGGGAGCCUUUGUAAUGACCACAGUAGCUCCCACUUCGAGUCAUCGAAAUGCCCACCAGCAGCAAAGAUUGCAGCGAUUGCAGGAGGCACAGCAACUGGAAACCCAUCAGCAACAUCAUCAUCAUCUGCGGCACGAGCAGCAUUUGCGGUCCGAAUUGGAGGGGAAUCAUCAGCCGCCAAUCGGGGACUUUGAAAUGGGUGGAUCCAAGAAGCCCUUCGAUCCACUGUUGCCCAUGCAGCAGCACCACUUGCGUCAUCACAAUCGCCACCAUCUGAGUUGGGAGCAGAGGGUGUUUCCCUCACUGCGACACCAGCAACACCGCUUGUCCCUAGGAACCAGCACUCCAAGAAAUAUCUUUACCUCGGAGGCACCCACAACCACUCAUCACGGCUUGAUCACAAAUCAUACUCGCUAUUUCGACAGGGAUGGCAUCUUCCCCUCUUGGGCUGAACCUCGAACUACCAGAGGUCCCAAUUGGCGACAGGAAGUGGAUUCCAGUAGCUCCGAUGGCGAAAGCGAUGAGGACGAAGACGACGAGGACGACGAUUAUGAGUACGAAGAUGACUCCGAUUCUGAUGGUGUGGAUGAAGAACUAGCCCGACAAAUGCCCAGAUACUCUUUGUUCACCCAAAAACUACCCCACAUUGACUUGAAAGAACAAGAGUACGAUGCUGUUGAUCAAUCGGACGAAUUGGAUAUAGUUUCGAAUAAUAAUCAUUAUAGCAACAAGCAUCCCAGUGUGGCCAAUCCACACGAUAAGUCAGCUGGCAAACGCAAUAUAUUUGCUUGGCUGUUCAAACAAGAUGUGGAAAAAGAGGUAGUUAAAGCACCGCACACCACAACUACUACAACGACCACAACCUCGACCACAACUGUGAAGCCCAUAACACGCACUGAAAGGCCAAAACUACAAUUAAUAGAUGCCAAUCUUAAGAACAACGGUGGCGAAGAGGACUACUCGAACGAGGAUUCGGAUUCCGAGUCGGAAGAGGGAUUCUCCAACGAACAGUGGAACAAAAUCGAGCACGAACAUCACCUCAAGCAGCAGAAACACCAGAAGGAACUAUUGGCGAUGCGUGAGAAGAGCUGGAAUACCCCUCUCAUAAGAAACAUUGAGAAUGAGGUGAGUUCUGGCAGUGACAUUUUCGAGAUUGAUUUUGAGGAAUGCCCAAUGAUUUGAAGGUGGAUAUGGUGAGUUCUGGCAGUGACAUUUUCGAGAUUGAUUUUGAGGAAUGCCCAAUGAUUUGAAGGUGGAUAUGGAUGUGAACAACAUCUACGCACGCAACUACAUAGCCGGCAAGCCAAUCCAGAAGAAGGACGAGCAGC